UGUUCUUGAUUGUAGAGGAGAGGAAUCCAAAAAGAUAGAGGGCAGGGUCUGUGAAGAGAGGAGUUGUGAGGGAGGAAAGAGCCUCUUCAGGAGAAGGAGGUUGCCCUUAAUGACGAGUCAGAAACAGGAAGUUUAAAUAUACCACAUGAAAUGAAUAUCUAGAUGAUGUAAUCAAACUCCAGCUCCUGUUUAUGGCUUCUUAGCUUUGAAGAGCUGAAGUUGUGCAACACAAAAUGAACAACAUUUGUACAUUCCAGAGGCAAAAGUCCUGGAGGCAACCCAAGAUCCUCUUACUGCAGGGCUAUAUGCUUCAUGUCAUCAUCUGAAAGUGGGGAGGAGACAGAAACCAUGGAUGGCAGCAUUCCUACAAAACCUGAAGAGGAAUCCCCCACUGAGGAGCCUGGCAGGCUGCAAGUCCAUGCGGAUCUUGAACAUCCUGAUCCUCCUCGAAGGAGCCGUCAUCUUCUAUCAGCUCUACUCACUGGUUGUGUCGGAGAAGUGGCACUAGACCAUCUCACUCUCCUUCAUCCUCUUCAGCAACUCCUGCGCCUUCUUCAAGCUACUGUGAGACCAACUGGUGCUGGGAAAAGCUUACUUGUACUCUGCCAGCAGAGAGGCUGAUCAGAAGCUCAAUUGAAAGCAGUGCCCUUGCUGCAGCCACUGCUCAUCCUGGGGCGCCGGGGCGGGGGGCGGGGUAGGGCGGUCCAGGUUGCUCUUCUCUCUCCCGCUCUGUGCUGCCUGCGGGCUGGUCGUUCAUCAGGUAUUGCUGUGUGGUUAACUGCAUGGCUUUGACUGGUGGGUGGCCAGCCUUCAGGCAGCACAGCUCUCAGACAGAGCGGGAGUUGGGUGAUCCAGGCUGCCUCCUUUGGUGCCUCCCUGGCUUGUUGGGAUGAGCCACUACUGCCUUACUGCUUGGCACCCAUCACAAGCAUGGUGAGGAGGAGGAAUGCAAGAACCUCCUCAAGGCUGUUUCAAGGCAAUGGCCUCAGACUGCCCAAAGGACCCCUGCAAGCUGCACCCCAGGAGGUCUUGCCACGAAGAGUUUGGAGGGCAGUUCUCCAGUCAAGGGCAGACAGGCCAGCCCUGGGCUUGUAUGGUUUUUUGUUUCUGGUUUCUCUCUCUCUGCCAAUGCUUUUGUUGUAUUUCUUUGAUAACUGAUAUGAUAAGGAAAAUGAGGAAGAUCUGGGGGAGGUUGUAGGAGCUGCUGGAGGGCUUUGAAGAUCUGCCUCCCUCCUGCCUGCUGUGUGGCCUGAGAGACUUGGACUGAAUAAUCCUUCUGGGACUGCAGAAGCUGAGCCUCUUAGGCCUUGCUACCUCCUUCCUACCUGAAGCCUGCAGGUGGCUCUUUUCCCUGGCUGUGUGCCAUUGUCGCCAGCUGGGCCCUACUGGUGAGAGGAGUGGGGGUGUGGCUGGCUCAGCUAUAAAGCCAGGGAUUUCAAGGUCGUUAAAUAUAUUGCUUCAUUUUUAUUGUGACUUUAUUGUGGGUUUGUUAAAUUCACACUAUAAUGUGAAUUUACCUAAAACUAUAAUGACUUUAAGAAAAAAUGUUUCUAAGACACUCUUUCAACCCCUCCAGCUACAAGCUCUUGAUUCUGUGGCCUAUGGCUACCAUUGUAUGUUUUCACUACAGCAGAGGGGUAGGGGGUUAAUAUUUAAGCAGAUUCAAGAAUUGUAUUCUGAGGAUUUAGAAAGAAAUGACCAAAUGUUUGAGCAGUAUGUUAAAAAAAAGAAAGAAAUGUUGCCCAAACAUGACCCAGAUUGUUUUCAAAACACACAAGCAUGUGGAUAUUGAUGAUUUUCAUAGAGCAAUAAAGUACCCCUAGAGGGCUUUAAAAGUG